UCUCCUUAGGUGAACCUGCGGAGGGAUCAUUACUGAGUGAGGGCUCCGGCCCGACCUCCAACCCCAUGUGAAUCGAAACCUGUUGCUUCGGGGGCGACCCUGCCUCUGUGCGAGGCGCCCCCGGAGGCUCAUCAAACCCUGCGUAACUAAGUCGUCGGAGUUUAAACAAAUUAAACAAAACUUUCAACAACGGAUCUCUUGGUUCGGGCAUCGAUGAAGAACGCAGC
rnacentral:misc_RNA from 1 species